ensembl:lncRNA
AACUGAACUGCUCUCAAAUUAUUUCAACAGAUGUAAAAAGAGAAAGAAGAAGAAAUAAAUAUCCACUGAAAUUAUGUGAAAUUUAAAGCUCCUUUCAAAUACUACGCCCUACAGAAUCAUCAGCAGCUAUAUAUAAUGGGGCUAUGUUAACACUAUUUACUGUAAAAUAAAUAAUUAAAUAAAAAUAAAUAUUUGCAUAUUGAUAUGACACUGUGACCUUUUUUUAAAAAAAAAAAAAAUUCAUUCCUGAUUUGUCCAGCAGAGGACUGCAUCACACAUUCCCUCACAGAGCUUGCACUGAGCAACAUGCAUUAAACCAGGAUUUUGUUGAAGUGCACACAAGCACACACAUACACGUAGGCAGACACACAAACAGGCACACACAUGCACACUAAAUGACUGAUGCCUUGGUGUUGUUUUUCAUAUGUAGAUCUGUGCUAAUCCCUGCUCCUCCGCUGCUGUGAUCAGGCCCAGACUGAGUGGAUAUGACAGCUGGCCCACCUGUUCAAAGUGAUCAAAGAAGCAGCAGGUACUUAAGUGAUGAAUCAGCUGCUCUGAAACUAACCUGCAAACUGACCUGGUUUGAACACUGGCUGGGAUCUUUUUAUGUGGAGAUUUGCAAUAUAAAUACACCUGGUCAGGCUCAGGCAAUCAAUACCAGCCGUGGCCCUGAAGGAGAACCCUGACAGCCGCUACUCCGGAUCCAUGCCAUUCCGGCUACUGCCCCACCAUCAGUCAACCUCAUACCACACAUACAAGAUGGAUAGACUUACCUACACAUAAAUAGCAUAUUUACACACGUAGAGUUAAGAAAAGAAAAUGAGAACUGAGCCACUGGAAGAGAACAGUGACGAUAACAACAAAUGAUGCUGUCAGAUACUGUUACAGGGUUAUGUCAAGUAAAAACUGUCUAUAAUAAUUAAUAAUAUGAAAUGUGUAUUUUAUCAGUGGCUCAGUAGCACAACGUUUAGCACUGUUGCCUCACAGUAAGAAGUUUCUGAGACUGACUCCACUAUCUGGCCGGGACCUUUCUGUGUGGAGUUUGCAUCUUCUCCCCUUGUUUGUGUGAGUACUCUUAAGGUACUCCAGCUUCCUCCCACGGUGGAAAAAAAUGAAGUUAGGUUAGGUUAAUUGGUAAUUCUAAAUUGCCCAUUAAUAAGUAUCUGUCUGUCUGUGUUAGUCCUGACAGACUGGCGACCUGUUGAGGGUAUACCCUGCCUCUUCCCCUAUGAUAGCUGGGUUAGGUUCCUCUACCACAGACAGAAUAGAUGAAUGGAUUUUAUCUUUGUCUCUAGUAGUUGAAGUGCUGUGUAUACCCAAAAUUAAUAAAUUACUGUAUUUCAUCACACC